UGAACUUUGUUUACGAGUGUCUUGUGUUCAGAUUGUUUUAAGUGAUAAUUUAACAAUAUUUUUCCAAAUAAAUGGAAAGAAACUUUUAUUUAUAUCAAAUAAUUGAGUGUCUCGACUCUGUGACAUUAUGUCUUGUGUGGUAUGGGGCUGCAGCUCACAUUCAGGAAGAAAAGAAAAUAGCCAACAACUUCUGUCGUUUCAUCGAUAUUAAAUCCAAAAGUGUCGACUGGAUUUACAUGAAAAGUCAGUUCAAGAAGACGAGAUGAAAAAUUUAAAAGAAAAGCUGAACAAGUCACGCCUCAAGAUCAAACGACUUAAUGAAAAAAAAAAAUCAAUGUGACAGGGUGUCACAAAGACAGUUUCUAAACAAAUUGACACUGUUUAGAAAUUAAUAAAUUUGUAUUUAUUGUAAAUAUAAUGUACAUAAUUAAUAACGUGUAUAAUAAAUA